UACGUAGGGACCAAGCGUUGUUCGGAUUUACUGGGCGUAAAGGGCGCGUAGGCGGCGUGUCAAGUCAGCUGUGAAAUCUUGAGGCUUAACCUCAAGCGGUCAGCUGAUACUGAUGUGCUAGAGUGCAGAAGGGGCAAUCGGAAUUCUUGGUGUAGCGGUGAAAUGCGUAGAUAUCAAGAGGAACACCUGAGGUGAAGACGGGUUGCUGGGCUGACACUGACGCUGAGGCGCGAAAGCCAGGGGAGCAAACGGGAUUAGAAACCCCCGUAGUCC
rnacentral:rRNA from 1 species